UCCUACGGGAGGCAGCAGUCCGGAAUAUUGGACAAUGGGGGCAACCCUGAUCCAGCCAUGCCGCGUGUGUGUUGAAGGUCUUCGGAUUGUAAACCACUUUAAGUUGGGAGGAAGGGCAGUAAGUUAAUACCUUGCUGUUUUGACGUUACCGACAGAAUAAGCACCGGCUAACUCUGUGCCAGCAGCCGCGGUAAUA
rnacentral:rRNA from 1 species